UUGUAAGGUGGCUGAGAAGAUAAGCAUUGGCUUGUAAAGCUAACUACGGAGUAAAUCUCCCCUUAUAAU
rnacentral:tRNA from 1 species